AGGAAGCAGAGGCAGAAGGAUUGCUGCAAGUUUCCAUUAUGAGGCCAGCCAGAGAUCCCAUGUCCCGGAAGAGCACCUGGCAUAUAACAGAACACCAGAGAGACUUGAGUCAGUGGACUUAUUUGGGAAAUCCAAAUUUCAGGCCUCUUUGUCUCCUGGGUGUGAUGGCCACACUUCUCAGAAACAGAAACAGAAUGCUGGGGCUGGAGGGGACCUUGGGACCGUUGCCUUCUGCCGCCCAGAGCCCACGAGCCUCUCCACUCAUGGAAGGAUGCUGCCUUGGUGAGGGGCAUGGGAACCCGAGGUCCUGUGGUGUCUUCUCCAGCAGCACAGAGGCGUGAGUCGUACGUGAAACAUGCCCGCCUCCCCCUUUUAGAACAUAUCUGUGUGCGCAUGCGCAUGCACGGCAGUGCUCUUGAGCAGCAUUUUCCACGCUGCUUUGUUGUUUGUUUGUCUUAAGAUUUUCAAGAUUUA